rnacentral:rRNA from 1 species
UCUUGUACACACCGCCCGUCACACCAUGGGAGUGGGUUUUACCAGAAGUGGCUAGUCUAACCGCAAGGAGGACGGUCACCACGGUAGGAUUCAUGACUGGGGUGAAGUCGUAACAAGGUAGCCGUAUCGGAAGGUGCGGCUGGAUCACCUCCUUUCUCG